CUUUGCCUUUGCAAAGUUGGUAUCCGUUGCCGCGUUCGAUGCGGUAUCGGAUUAAAAAGGGAAUACCGUGUGAAUCGGUAACAGUAGCCGCUGCUGUAUUUUCCCCGUAUGACUAUGAUGUCAUGCAAUUUGUAGUACAAUGCCACUGGAUAUUACUUCUGGGAAGGCGCUACAAAUACGGGAAUAAGUCAGAAGACCUGCCUCCUUGCAGUUGGAUUU
rnacentral:ncRNA from 2 species